UCGCCGUUUCCAGCCAAUCAGCAGCAGACCCUCCCUCCCAGACCCUCCCACCUCCUGGACAGCAUCCAUUGUGAAGCUGCAUUCUUAGUGAGCUGUCCAGGAGGUGGGAGGGUCUGGGAGGGAGGGUCUGCUGCUGAUUGGCUGAAAUGUGUCAG